rnacentral:rRNA from 1 species
CGCAGCCGCGGGAAUACAGAGGGUGCGAGCGUUAAUCAGAUUUACUGGGCGUAAAGCGUGCGUAGGCGGCUUCUUAAGUCGGAUGUGAAAUCCCUGAGCUUAACUUAGGAAUUGCAUUCGAUACUGGGAAGCUAGAGUAUGGGAGAGGAUGGUAGAAUUCCAGGUGUAGCGGUGAAAUGCGUAGAGAUCUGGAGGAAUACCGAUGGCGAAGGCAGCCAUCUGGCCUAAUACUGACGCUGAGGUACGAAAGCAUGGGGAGCAAACAGGAUUAGAUACCCCAGUAGUCCCUGUCUCUUAUACA